GGAUUGAUGUGGAUUGCUAAUUUAAAUAGCUCAUGCUACUGUAUUGCGUGAACAGUUAACAUUUUUAUUAUUGUAUGUGGGUUUUUUUUUUGCGGGUUGCAAAUGUUCAACCAAA